UGCAAGUCGAGCGAAUGGAUUAAGAGCUUGCUCUUAUGAAGUUAGCGGCGGACGGGUGAGUAACACGUGGGUAACCUGCCCAUAAGACUGGGAUAACUCCGGGAAACCGGGGCUAAUACCGGAUAACAUUUUGAACCGCAUGGUUCGAAAUUGAAAGGCGGCUUCGGCUGUCACUUAUGGAUGGACCCGCGUCGCAUUAGCUAGUUGGUGAGGUAACGGCUCACCAAGGCAACGAUGCGUAGCCGACCUGAGAGGGUGAUCGGCCACACUGGGACUGAGACACGGCCCAGACUCCUACGGGAGGCAGCAGUAGGGAAUCUUCCGCAAUGGACGAAAGUCUGACGGAGCAACGCCGCGUGAGUGAUGAAGGCUUUCGGGUCGUANAACUCUGUUGUUAGGGAAGAACAAGUGCUAGUUGAAUAAGCUGGCACCUUGACGGUACCUAACCAGAAAGCCACGGCUAACUACGUGCCAGCAGCCGCGGUAAUACGUAGGUGGCAAGCGUUAUCCGGAAUUAUUGCGCGUACAGCGCGCGCAGGUGGUUUCUUAAGUCUGAUGUGAAAGCCCACGGCUCAACCGUGGAGGGUCAUUUGGAACUGGGAGACUUGAGUGC
rnacentral:rRNA from 1 species